AACGAACGCUGGCGGCAUGCCUAACACAUGCAAGUCGAACGAGACCUUCGGGUCUAGUGUCGCACGGGUGCGUAACGCGUGGGAACCUGCCCUUAGGUUCGGAAUAACUCCCCGAAAGGGGUGCUAAUACCGGAUAAUGUCUUCGGACCAAAGAUUUAUCGCCUUUGGAUGGGCCCGCGUUGGAUUAGCUAGUUGGUAGGGUAAAAGCCUACCACGGCGACGAUCCAUAGCUGGUCUGAGAGGAUGAUCAGCCACACUGGGACUGAGACACGGCCCAGACUCCUACGGGAGGCAGCAGUGGGGAAUAUUGGACAAUGGGCGAAAGCCUGAUCCAGCAAUGCCGCGUGAGUGAUGAAGGCCUUAGGGUUGUAAAGCUCUAUUACCCGGGAUGAUAAUGACAGUACCGGGAGAAUAAGCUCCGGCUAACUCCGUG
rnacentral:rRNA from 1 species